rnacentral:rRNA from 1 species
GACGAACGCUGGCGGCGUGCUUAACACAUGCAAGUCGAACGGAAAGGCUCCAGCUUGCUGGAGUACUCGAGUGGCGAACGGGUGAGUAACACGUGGGUGAUCUGCCCUGCACUUCGGGAUAAGCCUGGGAAACUGGGUCUAAUACCGGAUAGGACCGCACUUUGGUGUGUGUGGUGGAAAGGUUUUUCUGGUGUGGGAUGAGCUCGCGGCCUAUCAGUUUGUUGGUGGGGUAAUGGCCUACCAAGACGGCGACGGGUAGCCGGCCUGAGAGGGUGGACGGUCACAUUGGGACUGAGAUGCGGCCCAGACUCCUACGGGAGGCAGCAGUGGGGAAUAUUGCACAAUGGGGGAAACCCUGAUGCAGCGACGCCGCGUGGGGGAUGAAGGCCUUCGGGUUGUAAACUCCUUUCGCUAGGGACGAAGCUUUUUGUGACGGUACCUGGAGAAGAAGCACCGGCUAACUACGUG